rnacentral:rRNA from 1 species
UACGAGGGGGGCAAGCGUUGUUCGGAAUUAUUGGGCGUAAAGGGCGCGUAGGCGGUUUGACAAGUCUGAUGUGAAAUCUCUGGGCUCAACCCAGAGUCUGCAUUAGAAGCUGUCGAGCUUGAGUAUGGGAGAGGUGAGUGGAAUUUCCGGUGUAGCGGUGAAAUGCGUAGAUAUCGGAAGGAACACCUGUGGCGAAAGCGGCUCACUGGACCAUAACUGACGCUGAGGCGCGAAAGCUAGGGGAGCAAACAGG